rnacentral:rRNA from 1 species
AUUGAACGCUGGCGGCAGGCCUAACACAUGCAAGUCGAACGAGUGGCGGACGGGUGAGUAACGCGUGGUAACCUGCCUCAUAGCGGGGGAUAACUAUUGGAAACGAUAGCUAAUACCGCAUACUGUUAGAUGUACCUGCGUUGUAUUAGCUAGUUGGUGGGGUAAAGGCUCACCAAGGCCACGAUACAUAGCCGAACUGAGAGGAUGACCGGCCACACUGGAACUGAGACACGGUCCAGACUCCUACGGGAGGCAGCAGUGGGGAAUAUUGCACAAUGGGCGCAAUCCUGAUGCAGCCAUGCCGCGUGUAUGAAGAAGGCCUUCGGGUUGUAAAGUACUUUCAGCGGGGAGGCGUUACCCGCAGAAGAAGCACCGGCUAACUCCGUGCCAGCAGCCGCGGUAAUAC